rnacentral:rRNA from 1 species
UACGGAGGAUGCGAGCGUUAUCCGGAUUUAUUGGGUUUAAAGGGUGCGUAGGCGGACGCUUAAGUCAGCGGUAAAAUUGCGGGGCUCAACUUCGUCGAGCCGUUGAAACUGGGUGCCUUGAGUGGGCGAGAAGUACGCGGAAUGCGUGGUGUAGCGGUGAAAUGCAUAGAUAUCACGCAGAACUCCGAUUGCGAAGGCAGCGUACCGGCGCCCAACUGACGCUGAAGCACGAAGGCGUGGGUAUCGAACAGG